AUGGACGCAGCCGCAAGAGGAGGGCUCCACAUCGACGACGCCCGAGGAGAUGAUGACGACUACCACACAUCUGCCGCUUCCCGACGCUGUGGUCACGAAUGCGAGCUCCCCUCCGCCUCUCGGCCGGGUUCGACCCGAGCACAGGUGCAACAGCUAUCGGUAGAACUAGAUGGCAUCACAGGAGGUGUGUUCGACCAUUUACGGCAGCACACUACACAAGACCCCGUGCUGGCUAAGUCUCUUGCAGGUAGCACCUGUGCUCAAGCUUUGUUUAUUCAUUUUUUUCAGCUUAUCUCUUCAAUUGUCAUGCGAUUACCCAGGAAUGCACAACAAUUUUCAUGUGAUUCCCAUAUCAAUGCAAUUUUUUAUAGUUUUGCCAUGGAACUAAAGCAAUGUUGUGGUUUGCCAAGUAUAUUUACGAUAUGUUGCCAUGCCAACUAG
rnacentral:rRNA from 1 species